rnacentral:misc_RNA from 1 species
AGAAGACCUGGUCCAUCAUGCUUCAGUAUAAAAUUCUCAUCUGCAAACUUCCCUCCAAAUAUACUUUCUCCACCAGUGCCUGCAAACCAAUUAAAGGUUGAUCCUUACAAAUCUGGGAAUGAGUAUUGAAGUCACAUAGAGAAAUUGCAUUCAUUAGUAGACUAGAAAAUUUAUCAAAUCAUAGUGUGUACCAUUUCCCUUUGAAAAGUCACCACCUUGGGCCAUGAAUCCUCUAAUAAUUCGAUGGAAAAAGGAUCCUUUAUAGUGGAGAGGUUUGCCAGUUGUUUUGCCAUUGCCCUUUUCACCUACAAUGGAUCAUGGCACAAUAGUAUCAAAAUCCAAAUUAACUUGUGCAGACAACAGGCAAUUGAUUUCUCAAGACAAGAAAAAUAAAGGAUACCAAAUCAACAUUACAGAUCCGCCUCUAGUUGGCUCACAACAUCUAGAUGUGCCAGUGCCAGCACUAAAAAUAAAGAUGAGUGUCCAGUGUCUACCACAAUUCAAAAGCUAACAAGUCAUUGGCAGAAAUAAAAGCAUAUGCUAACUGUAUCUUCUUACCUGGAGAAACACAUGCAUCCUACCAUCCUCAGGUACUUUGCCCAAAUUGUCAAUGUGUACUUGUUAAAAUAAGAACCACUAUAGCUCCCACAUUCAUGGCAACAACAACAAAAUUAUGAUUGCUUUCCAUACUUUUCAAUUUUCUAGUCCCAUUAACCAUUAAUCUUUUUAAUCAUAUUGGCCAUAUAAAAAAAUUCCAUAUAUGUCAAAAGUCCAAAUGACUAGGUUCGAACUCUUUAACCAAAUGACUAGGUUUGAACUCUUUAACACUUACACAGUUAAUAACUUGAUAUUCAAAUGUAGGCCAUAUAUAACAUUACUAAUCCUUUUUAAGUGCAAACUACUCUCUAGUUUAAUCUUCUAAUCCUUAAAUGGUGGUCAAUGAAUACCUUUGACACGGUGCACAAAUUAGAUUAGAUUUCAAGACCUGUGUUUUCCAUAUUUCACAAGGACUUCUAUU